rnacentral:tRNA from 1 species
GUGGUUGUAGCUCAAUGGUAGAGUGCUUGCCUAGCAUGUGUGAGGCACUGGGUUCAAUCCCCAGCACCCCA